rnacentral:SRP_RNA from 11 species
GCCGGGUUCAGUAACUUGGGCCUGUGACCCAAGUGGGGGCAUUAAGGUUAGGUGAAGGGUCUAGAACUAGGGCUCGCUUA